GUCUCUCUGUCUGUGUGUUUGUGUAUUUUAACCUCUAGCCCCUUACCCCUAGCUCACAAACUGUAUGGUAGCACAUAGAGCGCAUACAGGCAUUGUGUGCUGCGCACCUGGUCUUGAUUUAAUUUGGGUAUUUGGAUUUUAUCUAAAAACAAGUCCAUCUCUUUUACAUUUUCCAACUUUGUCACAUAUAGGCUUUUUAACAAGACCCAAUGAUUCUCUGAAUUUCCUCAGUGUCUGUUGUUAUGGCUCCAUUUUCAUUUCUGAUCUUGUUAUUUUGCAUGUUCUCUCUCUUCCUUUUAACUAGUUUGGAUAGGGGUUUGUCAAUUUUGUUGAUUUUACUCAAAGAACUAGCACUGUUUCCUUGAUUCUUUGGAUUGUUUUCUGUGUUUCUAUUUUGUUGAUUUCAACCCUCCAUUUGAUUUUUCCAGUCUUCUCCUCCUUGGACUGAAUGGCUGCGGGACCAGGUGGGACAGAAAUCACUUUCAACAGAAGGUUCCAUUGGAUGUUGAGAAGAUCCGAGAACUCACAAAUGGAGCAAUGUGUAUUUUAGCCAACCUGAGCUUCGGGUGACCUGUGGUUAUCGCUAAGGGGACUCGGUAUAAGGAGAAAUUUG